rnacentral:rRNA from 1 species
CCUACGGGAGGCAGCAGUGGGGAAUAUUGGGCAAUGGGCGCAAGCCUGACCCAGCAACGCCGCGUGAAGGAAGAAGGCUUUCGGGUUGUAAACUUCUUUUAAGAGGGAAGAGCAGAAGACGGUACCUCUUGAAUAAUCCACGGCUAACUACGUGCCAGCCGCCGCGGGAAUACGUAGGUGGCAAGCGUUGUCCGGAUUGACUGGGUGUAAAGGGCGUGUAGCCGGGCUGACAAGUCAGAUGUGAAAGCCCGUGGCUCAACCACGGAACUGCAUUUGAAACUUUCGGUCUUGAGUAUCGGAGAGGCAGGCGGAAUUCCUGGUGUAGCGGGGAAAUGCGUAGAUAUUAGGAGGAACACCAGUGGCGAAGGCGGCCUGCUGGACGACAACUGACGGUGAGGCGCGAAAGCGUGGGGAGCAAACAGGAUUAGAUACCCCAGUAGUC